UUGAGUAGCUUCAAGAAUAGGAAUUUAUUUUUUCAUACUUCUGGAGACUGGGAGUCUAAGAUCAAGGUGUUGGUGAGUCUGGUUUCUCCUGGGCCUGCAGAUGGCCACCUUCUUGCUGUGUCCUCACGUGGCCUGUCCUCUGUAUGUAAGCAUCCGUGUGACUCUUGCCCUCAUCUCCUCUCCUUAUAAGGACCCUCGUUAGUUAGAAUGGAUUAACUAGGGGGCCCCCUAAAUGGCCUCAUUUUAUAACUUAAUCACUUCUUUAAAGGCUCUAUCUCCAAACCGUUCCUAGAGAUUAGGGCUUCAAUAUAUAAAUUUGGAAUGAGGGAAAGGGAGACACAUUCAGCUCCUAACAGUGUUGAAUUCUCACCACAAUUUUUGUAAUAAAGGUACUGUCAUUAUGUCCAUUGUAGAGAUAAAGAAACAGUGGUUCAUAAAAGCUGAGUCACUGGCCUGAUGACUUCCAUGUAGCAAGCCAAGCAUACCAUUUACAUGCUGUGUAUUUCUUUUUCAGUGUGUGUGUCAGAGAUAUCAUCUAGGUUUUGAAGUGGGUUUGAAAAGGCCCAUUGAAAUUUCUGGAUUCCUUUAAAAGAAGGCGUAUGUAGCCAUGUUGCUAAAGGAGCUUCUGCCACUUAGCAGCUGUGUGACCUCUGGCAGGUUACUUCACUUCUCUGGCCUUUGGUUUUCUAGUUUACAAAAUUGGGUUAUUAAUCAUACCUACCUGAGAGGGCUGUUGUGAAGAGGAUGUGAGAUAAUCCGCAUAACAUAUGUCUGUAAAUAGCAGGGAUUAAGUAGAUGUUAGUUGCUAUUAUUAUGUGAUUAUCAUCAUUCCGAGAAAGAUGCAUUUUCAGAAUGGGACCAAGUGAUUACUAUCAUUCCAUUUUAAUAUUUAAAAGUGAUAUUACUUGCUGGUUAUUUGGAUCUAUAUAUUAUCAUAGUUUUAAAUAUUACCAUUUUCAACACAUUAUGUCAUUUUACAUCAGUAACAUGUCAGAGGCUGGUCUAACGUGUCAAAAGGGAUUUAACUCAUUGGCUGUGUGUCAUCAGUGUGACACAGCUCUGAGAAUCAGAUCAACAGCACCUGCUUUUAACACACAUUGGACAUACCUGGGUGGUUUCCUUGGAGCCAGGUGACACGCUGAGCCGUUGCAGCACCAAUUUUCUGGGGAGUUCAGAAAGACCAUAAGAGAUGAUCAGGACUUCCUGCAAGCCAACUUCCAGGUAAUCCCGUUGCAAAACGGCUCUGCAGUCACUCCACCAUGUGGCUACUGUAGUCUUCUUCUGCUGGGUCGCACUGCCACGGGUGCCAGCCCUCUGGAGUGAUGCUCCUUGUAGAUGCUACCAGACAUCUAAUGCCGCAAGUCAUGCUGUGCUGCAGGGCCUCAUCCGUCUCACCUAAGGUACUUUUGCAAGGAUUCUUCUUCUAGAUUAAAUUCCUGGCAGUAGAGUAGCUGGGUUAGAAUUUAUAUGUAUUCAGAAUUUGGAUCAAUACCACCAAAGCGCCCUUAUAAACAGUCAGACCAAUACAGUCUCAUCUGCAGUGGAUGAAUGCACCUCUUUGAUGUUAUCAAGUAUUUUCAUUUUUGCCAGCACGAUAGGUAAGAUCCAUUCUCCCACAGUUGCUUUGAUUUGUCUUUACCUGUCAAUAUCAUUGAGCACCAUUUCAUGCAUUUGUUCCCUGUUUGUAUUUUUCACUUCUGAGUGGGAACUGCCUAUUCAUAUCCUUCGUCCACUUUUCCACGGGUAUAUCUUUCUCCACCUGAAUUAUAUAGACCCCUUUUCAAUUGAGGAAGUGAGCCCUCAAGGCAAAUAUUUCCUCCAGUUUACCCUUUGUCUUUGUUUACAGUAUUUCAGUCCAUCCUAAAUGUUUACAUGUUUUUAAAUUUCUCAACACCCAGGAAAUUUGUUGAGUUGGAUCACAUCUCAAGAUCCCUCCAAGUCUAAAGAAGAUGCCACAAAUACCAUCAGCUACAAAAUGAAAGGAAUAUGAGUCCAGUGGUGGACUUUUGCAGACUUUAGCAGGCUCUACCCUUCCACCAUGCCUGUCCUUCAGGAAUGUGCUGGACAACUCUAUCAGUGUUUGGGGUAAAGGAACAUGAUUCAUGAAAAGGAUGAAUCUCCCUUAGAAGGCCUGUGUAUUAUCACCCUGGAUGUGUUGAGUUCCCUGCUGUCUUUUCUGCUUGACUGGUAACAAGGUGGCCCACAUGAACACCAGCAGCAAAUGGACUCACUCAAGUCUCCUGGUCUUAACAGCCUGAAGUUCUGCCAGAUUCACCCAUCAGAAAUAAUUUCCUCUUGAAAACGAAUGUCAGUAAUUCUCUAUGGAAGCUAAUAUCACCAACUUGCAAAUGGAGAACAAAAUUUGUCAUCCGGAUACACCUAGUGUUUAAUGAUGUCAGUAAGGAAACCGUCCACCCUUUGGUCCAGAGGAGGCCAUGGUUCUUCUGGUGAAGCACAAGGGCAUGGUCAUUUUGAUGAGUCACUCUACAGAGGGUCCAAAGCUGUGAAGCAGAGUAAACUCAGGACAGACAGCUGGAAUCCUGGAAUGUAACCUCACCAACAGAUGAGCUGGUUGGGGUGCUCCAUAUUUGGGAUGAUAAAGUGCUGUCUGUCAUCUGAAGAGGCUGCACCAUGGCCUUUCUUCACUGAUCACCAAGGCGGAAACCUCUGCCAGCUUUUCUCACUGAUGAUUCCCUCUGCCUGCAAAGCCUUCUUCCCCAGAUGGUCCCAUAACUACUACCUUCUCUUCACUUGGGCCUGAGAUCAAAUGGCACUUUCUCCAAGAGGCCCUGCCUUGACCCCAAGUCCCAAAGAAACUCCCCCAUCAGUGUAUCCUGGCAUUCUCUUUUAUUUUCUCUUUAGCAUGUAAGAUGCUUUAGUAAAAACCCUAGAACUGGACUUCACUGGCGGUCCAAGAAUGGUUGAGAAUCUUCCUGCCCGUGCAGGGGAACAUGGAUUCGAUUCCUGGUCCAGGAAGAUGCCACAUGCCGCGGGGAAGCGAAGCCCGUGCGCCGCAACUACUGGACCAGUGCUCUAGAGCCCGGGGGCUGCAAGUACUGAAGCCCGCACGCCCUAGAGCCCACGCUCUGCAUCAAGAGAACCACUGCAAUGGGAAGCCCACCCACCUCAAUGCAGAGCAGCCCCCACUCACCACAACUAGAGAAAGCCCGUGAGCAGCAAUGAAGACCCAACACAGCUGAAAAUACACAGAUUAUAGAAUCUCAGAAGUCAAGAACUGUGGUGUUUAUUAUACCUUGCCCUGGGAUCCCUCAUGGCAUGUUCCACAGCUAAACACAUUGUAAAGAAUAUGUUUGUUAAAUUGAAAGCAGUCUCUCUGAUGGAAAGGCAAUGAAGAAAAGAAAAUGAACACGCAAGUUCUGACCAUUCUUUAGCGGAUAAAUUGCACCGACAAAACAAAUUUAUAAGACCUCCUGACCAAUUCACCACUUCCUCUUCCCCUACGGGGGCACCCUGGAAGCAUGUGUUGAGACGGAGCCUCUGCCCACCUGGGUCCCUGACGGCCAUGCUGAGGAGAGCUCAUGAGAAUGAAUGAGAAACAAACUUGUGCUAUAUUACUGCCCCUGAGAUUUUGGAGUCUUUUGUUUCUGCAGCAAAACCUAGCCCAUCCUGACUAACAUAAUGAAUUAAAAGUUGUAGUUGUUUUUCAUCUAUCCUCAAUCCCCCAGAAAAUAAAAACUGU